UAGAGGGCUACGGCUCCCUGUUUGAUAUUACCACAUUGAUAUUUUCUUCUAUGUUGCUUCCACUUUCUAUAACAUGGACAAAACUCUUGACCCAGUUAUAUAUAGUGGGAGGUUUUUUCUACACUAUUUUUCUUACUUAGACUUUUGAAUUGUCUGAAUAUAUGAGGGAAAAUGCUAUA
rnacentral:misc_RNA from 1 species